rnacentral:rRNA from 1 species
UCCGCCAGGGAACUACAAGCACAGCUUAAAACCCAAAGGACUUGGCGGUGCCUCAGACCCACCUAGAGGAGCCUGUUCUAGAACCGAUAAUCCCCGUUAAACCUCACCACCCCUUGUUUUUCCCGCCUAUAUACCGCCGUCGCCAGCUUACCCUGUGAAGGUUUAACAGUAAGCAAAAUGGGUUCAACCCAGAACGUCAGGUCGAGGUGUAGCGCAUGGAGUGGGAAGAAAUGGGCUACAUUUUCUGCCACAGAAUAUUACGAAUGGUGUCCUGAAAUAUGACACCUGGAAGGAGGAUUUAGUAGUAAAAAGCAAA